UACAGAGGGUGCAAGCGUUAAUCGGAAUUACUGGGCGUAAAGCGCGCGUAGGUGGUUCGUUAAGUUGGAUGUGAAAGCCCCGGGCUCAACCUGGGAACUGCAUUCAAAACUGACAAGCUAGAGUAUGGUAGAGGGUGGUGGAAUUUCCUGUGUAGCGGUGAAAUGCGUAGAUAUAGGAAGGAGCACCAGUGGCGAAGGCGACCACCUGGACUGAUACUGACACUGAGGUGCGAAAGCGUGGGGAGCAAACAGG
rnacentral:rRNA from 1 species